CCUACGGGAGGCAGCAGUGAGGAAUAUUGGUCAAUGGGCGGAAGCCUGAACCAGCCAAGUCGCGUGAGGGAUUAAGGCCCUGCGGUUCGUAAGCCUCUUUUGCCGGGGAGCAGAGGUCCGGACGUGUCCGGGCCGGGAGAGUCCCCGGAGAAAAAGCAUCGGCUAACUCCGUGCCAGCAGCCGCGGUCAUACGGAGGAUGCGAGCUUUAUCCGGAUUGAUUGGGUUUACAGGGUGCGUAGGCGGGCAUUUAGGCCGGCGGUCAAAUGUCGGGGCUCAACCCCGGCCUGCCGUCGGAACUGGGUGCCUUGAGUGGGCGAGAAGUAGGCGGAAUGCGUGGUGUAGCGGUGAAAUGCAUAGAUAUCACGAAGAACCCCGAUUGCGAAGGCAGCAUACCGGCGCCAUACUGACGCUGAGGCACGAAAGUGCGGGUAGCGAACAGGAUUAGAUACCCGAGUAGUC
rnacentral:rRNA from 1 species